rnacentral:tRNA from 1 species
GUUUUUAUAGUUUAAAAAAAAAAACAUUGGUCUUGUAAACUAAAAAUUAAGAUUUUUUCUUUUUAAAACU